GCUGCUGCUUCACUCAUCAGUGUGGCUGUGAUAACCUGUGGUUACAGCCUGAGGAGAAAUCCUCGCAGGUGAAAACUUUUACUGACGCACUUAAACUCAUGAAAUGACCCUUUGAAAUCACUUGAGCACAUUACUGCAUACAGCAGCCACUGUGGUGUUCAAAGUAUCUCAUAGGUUCUUUUAAAACACCACACAUUAGUUGUAGACAUAGCUAGUCUUGUUUUUGAGGUAUUUUUCACCCCAUGACCUCUGAUGUUUUUAUCCUAACAGAGAAAACAGAUCAGGUCUAACUAACUUAACAGGAUCUGAAACUCGCCAGAUGUUUGACAAAGAGGACCGCUACAUGAGCCUUCAUCGGCAAAACAUCGAUGUCUACCAAACUAUCUCCUCCGGUCGCCUUCAUCAUGAUGCUGAGGCCACUGCAUGUCACAGUCAUGUACAAUAAUAAUCAGAGAUGGAGUUUUUACCCUGACUACGUGAUCUAUAAAACUAUGAUGCUAGACAUGCUAUCUAUAAAAGACACUGACAUUUUAACUUGCCAGCAUCAUGUGUACUGUUAGUUUGUUUUGCACUGAAAAAAGAGAAAAAUAUUAACGUCCAGUAAAACUUGUAAUGAUGUUGUGAA